UGUUGUUGUGACUUGGUUUUAUUCUGUGUAUUUUACUUCUCAGAUCUGCUCUAAAAGAAAAGGAACAAGAAAAUGAAGCCUUGGAGAGAAGCAUAAAAGAGAUAAAUAUGCAAGUUCAAAGAACAAGAUCUGAACUUGACACUAAGAAUGACGAAAAUGAAAAACUUAUUCAAAGAAUUCAACAAACUGAAGCCUUUUACCAACAGCACCAUCAUAAAAAAGAAUCUGCUUUAAAAGAAAAGGAAAAGGAAAAUCAAGACUUGGAGAGAAGGUACAGUUAUUCAUAGAUGUGAAGCAUUUC